CCAAUCACUAUGGUUUGUGUCCUAACAGGUUCUUUCAUUGAGUUCUUAGUGAAAUAUUCCCCAUCUCCAGCUGAGAAAGCAAAAUUUGGAGGAAUGUUUGGUGGAAUCAUAAUUAUGUUCAUCUUUUUUCUUAUAUUUCGGAUUUUCAACAUGUUGGCUUGGAUAAAAUAUUCAGAAGACAGUGAAAAAGUAGGGAAAAUCCUUUCCUACAUAACAAGAAUAACAGGAGUUACAUUUCUGGUCAUCAUGGCUUCAUCCAUCAUUGCUGUCAGUGUUUAUCUGGCAAAAUACUCAGCUCUAGCCUGGAAAGAACAACUUGCAACAUUUUCCACUUUCCUAGUCAUCAUGGUUUUAUUCCCAG